UACAGAGGGUGCUAGCGUUGUUCGGAAUCAUUGGGCGUAAAGGGCGUGUAGGCGGUUUGUUAAGUCAUGUGUGAAAUCCCUCGGCUCAACCGGGGAACGACGCAUGAAACUGGCAAGCUAGAGUACCAAAGAGGGGGGUGGAAUUCCCGGUGUAGCGGUGAAAUGCGUAGAGAUCGGGAGGAACAUCAGUGGCGAAGGCGGCCCUCUGGACCAGCACUGACGCUGAGGCACGAAAGCGUGGGGAGCAAACAGG
rnacentral:rRNA from 1 species